rnacentral:rRNA from 1 species
UGGGGAAUAUUGGGCAAUGGGGGCAACCCUGACCCAGCAACGCCGCGUGAAGGAAGAAGGCCUUCGGGUUGUAAACUUCUUUGACCAGGGACGAAGAAAGUGACGGUACCUGGAAAACAAGCCACGGCUAACUACGUGCCAGUAGCCGCGGUAAUACGUAGGUGGCAAGCGUUGUCCGGAUUUACUGGGUGUAAAGGGCGCGUAGGCGGGAUUGCAAGUCAGAUGUGAAAUGCUGGGGCUUAACCCUGGAACUGCAUUUGAAACUGUGAUUCUUGAGUAUCGGAGAGGCAGGCGGAAUUCCUAGUGUAGCGGUGAAAUGCGUAGAUAUUAGGAGGAACACCAGUGGCGAAGGCGGCCUGCUGGACGACAACUGACGCUGAGGCGCGAAAGCGUGGGGAGCAAACA